rnacentral:pre_miRNA from 1 species
AGUGGGAUAACUGGGUCAUACUGUGUGGUUCCAUUCCAAGUUUUCUAAGGAAUCUCCAGACUGCUUUCCAUAUUGUCUACACCAAUUUGCAGUUCCACCAGUAAU